AAUAGAGAAGCCUCCAAAAUAAAAAGGUGCUUCACAUGGAUAUACUUGGCACUGGGAUUUUUCAAAGCUUCAUUAAAGUCCAGUGGCUAGACAAGAGUCAGGAUGACUGACGAUGACUCAGGAUGCAGUGGAUGACUUUGGCAUCUUCAGUGUCUGACCAAAAACCACAAAGAUGCAUUUCCUCUUCAUGACUGUUGAAACAAGUUGUUUUCAUCUGCCCAUUCUGCCAAGGGAAGUCUUUAUAUGCUUGGGAUGGAUAUUUCUCCUAACUCACUGACAGAUUUGAAGCCUGUCAGUUAUCCUCAACCUGCAUGGCCCUGUCUCCAGAGACAUUAUUAGCAAGGUAUGGCUGCUGUGCAUGCUACAGCUUCUUGGAGCCUCAGCCAUCAAAGUCCAGGUGCAAGAUGAAAAUGAGGACCACUUCAGGUGACCCAGAAUGGUGGUGGAUGACCUACUCUAGUGUCUCUGCUGUCCAACCAAGCUCUGGGCUCUCCAACAACACCCACUUCAGCUGCCUUCCCAAAAGGAAAGUGGAGGAGUGAGGCUAUUACUGAGCCCUGAAAUACUUUUUUUGGAUAUGUUUUUAUUUUAAAGUUGACAAUGUGGGCUGCUUUCCCCAUAUUUGCCUCUUUUCCCACCCUGAAACUACAGUGGAGAAUGUAGUCUGUUUUCAUAGUCAUCAAACUGUCUUUGUCUUAUUCUGAUCAUUUAUUAAAAUAUCCCCUAUACGCUCUCAAAUAAAAUUUUCUUUCUUCUUUCCUUUCA
rnacentral:lncRNA from 1 species